rnacentral:rRNA from 1 species
GAUGAACGCUGGCGGCGUGCCUAAUACAUGCAAGUCGAGCGAACGGACGAGAAGCUUGCUUCUCUGAUGUUAGCGGCGGACGGGUGAGUAACACGUGGAUAACCUACCUAUAAGACUGGAAUAACUUCGGGAACCCGGAGCUAAUACCGGAUAAUAUUUUAAACCGCAUGGUUCAAAAUGAAAAGACGGUCUUGCUUUCACUUAUGGAUGGAUCCGCGCUGCAUUAGCUAGUUGGUAAGGUAACGGCUUACCAAGGCAACGAUGCAUAGCCGACCUGAGAGGGUGAUCGGCCACACUGGAACUGAGACACGGUCCAGACUCCUACGGGAGGCAGCAGUAGGGAAUCUUCCGCAAUGGGCGAAAGCCUGACGGAGCAACGCCGCGUGAGUGAUGAAGGUCUUCGGAUCGUAAAACUCUGUUAUUAGGGAAGAACAUAUGUGUAAGUAACUGUGCACAUCUUGACGGUACCUAAUCAGAAAGCCACGGCUAACUACGUG